UUUCUGUAGGUGAACCUGCGGAAGGAUCAUUCAUAAUAAAGUGUUUUAUGGCACUUUUUAAAAAUCCAUAUCCACCUUGUGUGCAAUGUUAGAUCUCGUCAAUCUUGGCGAGAUUUUUAUACAUCAACUCAUUCUUUAACUAAUUUGUCUGAAAAAUAUUAUGAAUACUUAAUUCAAAAUACAACUUUCAACAACGGAUCUCUUGGCUCCC
rnacentral:misc_RNA from 1 species